UACGUAGGGGGCGAGCGUUGUCCGGAAUUACUGGGCGUAAAGGGCGCGUAGGCGGCCUUCUAAGUCGAACGUGAAAUCCCCGGGCUCAACCCGGGAACUGCGUCCGAUACUGGAAGGCUUGAAUCCGGGAGAGGGAUGCGGAAUUCCAGGUGUAGCGGUGAAAUGCGUAGAUAUCUGGAGGAACACCGGUGGCGAAGGCGGCAUCCUGGACCGGUAUUGACGCUGAGGCGCGAAAGCCAGGGGAGCAAACGGG
rnacentral:rRNA from 1 species